UACAGAGGGGGCUAGCGUUGUUCGGAAUUACUGGGCGUAAAGGGCUCGUAGGCGGCCAACUAAGUCACACGUGAAAUCCCCAGGCUUAACCUGGGAACUGCGUGUGAUACUGGAUGGCUUGAAUUCGGGAGAGGGAUGCAGAAUUCCAGGUGUAGCGGUGAAAUGCGUAGAUAUCUGGAGGAAUACCGGUGGCGAAGGCGGCAUCCUGGACCGACAUUGACGCUGAGGAGCGAAAGCUAGGGGAGCAAACGGG
rnacentral:rRNA from 1 species